rnacentral:rRNA from 1 species
AUUGAACGCUGGCGGCAGGCCUAACACAUGCAAGUCGAGCGAGCGGCGGACGGGUGAGUAAUGUCUGGGAAACUGCCUGAUGGAGGGGGAUAACUACUGGAAACGGUAGCUAAUACCGCAUACCAUCGGAUGUGCCCAGAUGGGAUUAGCUAGUAGGUGGGGUAAAGGCUCACCUAGGCGACGAUCCCUAGCUGGUCUGAGAGGAUGACCAGCCAAACUGGAACUGCGACACGGUCCAGACUCCUACGGGAGGCAGCAGUGGGGAAUAUUGCACAAUGGGCGCAAUUCGGAUGCAGCCAUGCCGCGUGUGUGAAGAAGGCCUUCGGGUUGUAAAGCACUUUCAGCGAGGAGGCGUUACUCGCAGAAGAAGCACCGGCUAACUCCGUGCCAGCAGCCGCGGUAAUUC